CAGUAGCCGCGGGAAUACAGAGGGUGCGAGCGUUAAUCGGAUUUACUGGGCGUAAAGCGUGCGUAGUCGGCUAAUUGAGUCGGAUGUGAAAUCCCCGAGCUUAACUUGGGAAUUGCAUUCGAUACUGGUUAGCUAGAGUGUGGGAGAGGAUGGUAGAAUUCCAGGUGUAGCGGUGAAAUGCGUAGAGAUCUGGAGGAAUACCGAUGGCGAAGGCAGCCAUCUGGCCUAACACUGACGCUGAGGUACGAAAGCAUGGGGAGCAAACAGGAUUAGAUACCCGCGUAGUCCCUGUCUCUUAUAC
rnacentral:rRNA from 1 species